CUACGGGCUGCUCCAGUGGGGAAUAUUGGACAAUGGGGGCAACCCUGAUCCAGCCAUGCCGCGUGGGUGAAGAAGGCCUUAGGGUUGUAAAACCCUUUCAGCGGGGAAGAUGAUGACGGUACCCGCAGAAGAAGCCCCGGCUAACUCCGUGCCAGCAGCCGCGGUAAUACGGAGGGGGCUAGCGUUGUUCGGAAUUACUGGGCGUAAAGGGCGUGUAGGCGGUUUGCCAAGUCAGAGGUGAAAGCCCCGGGCUUAACCUGGGAACUGCAUUUGAGACUGGCAGGCUAGAGGGUGGAAGAGGAGAGUGGAAUUCCCAGUGUAGAGGUGAAAUUCGUAGAUAUUGGGAAGAACACCAGUGGCGAAGGCGGCUCUCUGGUCCACACCUGACGCUGAGGCGCGAAAGCGUGGGGAGCAAACAGGAUUAGAUACCCCGGUAGUC
rnacentral:rRNA from 1 species